rnacentral:rRNA from 1 species
UACAGAGGUCCCAAGCGUUGUUCGGAUUCAUUGGGCGUAAAGGGUGCGUAGGCGGUGCCGCAAGUCAGAUGUGAAAUCUCGGGGCUUAACUCCGAAACUGCAUUCGAUACUGCCGUGCUUGAGGACUGGAGAGGAGACUGGAAUUUACGGUGUAGCAGUGAAAUGCGUAGAUAUCGUAAGGAAGACCAGUGGCGAAGGCGAGUCUCUGGACAGUUACCGACGCUGAGGCACGAAGGUCAGGGGAGCAAACGGG